rnacentral:rRNA from 1 species
AGGAUAAACGCUGGCGGCGUGCCUAACACAUGCAAGUCGAACGCGCUUUCGGGCUUCGGUGCGAGAGCGAGUGGCGGACGGGUGAGUAACACAUGGGUACCUACCUUGGAGUGAGGGAUACCGGCGAGAAAUCGCCGACAAUACCGCAUAGGCUUCUUCACAAGGGAAGCAAAGUGACGCGAGUCACGCUUUGAGAUGGGCCUGUGGCCGAUUAGCUAGUUGGGGGGGUAACGCUUCCCAAGGCGACGAUCGGUAGCUGGUCUGAGAGGACGAUCAGCCACACUGGGAUUGAGAACGGCCCAGACUCCUACGGGGGGCAGCAGUGAGGAAUUUUCCGCAAUGGAGGCAACUCUGACGGAGCAACGCCGCGUGCAGGAGGAAGGUUUUCGGAUCGUAAAACUGUCUUUUCUCGGGGACGAGCAAAGGGACGGUACCCGAGGAACGAAGCCCCGGACUAACUACGCGCCAGCAGCCGC